CUAAAACGGCAACACUUCCGGUGUUACCGCAAGUUACAUCAUCUUCCACGCUCACACUGACUCAGUCCUCAGGUGUAAGCACCACACUAACUUCUGCAUCUGACGAGAAAAGUACAGAUGUGGCUGUAACAGUAAUUACAGCGGGUGUGGUCACUUGUGUUGCCUUGGUUACUUGCCUUGUGUCGGUGUAUAUAUGGAAGAGAAGCAGACCAACGCAAAUGUCACGACGAAGUUUUCGGAAAGACGCCCCUAGCGUUGAUCUCCAGGCUCGACAAGAUCAGCCCGGGGGCCUGGAAGACAGAACGGAAAUGUUGACUUAUGAUACUGCGGGUAGUUAUCUGACGCCGAUUGUCAGGCAGACUCGUCAGCCAGACUCUCAGUUUACAGGAAUGGAUCUCGGGACCGAGCUCAGGUUUUUUAACACUGGGGAAGAGGAUGAUGGGUAUUGUACGCCACUCUCCGACCAGAAUCCGCUGUACGAGGUUCUCGGGGAACGAGAGACCGUGGCAGAUCAACACCCCUACAGCCAAAUGCGUUACUGACUUUUACCACUGUAAAAGGACAAUUGUAUACAUCAGUCCGGUUCUUCAUGAUAAUUAUUAACGUAGAAUUACAGCCUGAAAAAUUUUAAUGCGCGUACGUGUUGGAGACAAGCUCCACACUUUCUGCAAGGACGCUAGGGGAGUAUGCUGCCUCAGUGAAGCACUAUGCCAAAGAUAACAGGCAUGACACUACACUCACCCAUGCAGUACAAAAACGUCUGAUCGACCGGUAUACUUGUGCUUGCCCUAUUAAGCUUUGGUACAAUUUCUGCGAAGUAUUGCGUCCAGAAACAGGCUCCAUACUUAAAUGUGACUCUAGCAACUCUCACAUACGAGAAUGAACUCAAAGAUUACAUUCCAUGGUAACGCGUGCCCUAGGGACAGCAGGCUACUCAUAGCCUAUUUACGUCACACCGAGUGUUAACCAUUAUAAACGGUGUUUUUGUUAUCAGAAUAUAGGUAU